rnacentral:rRNA from 1 species
UACAGGGGGUGCAAACGUUGCUCGGAAUUAUUGGGCGUAAAGCGCGCGUAGGCGGCUACUUAAGUCGGAUGUGAAAGCCCUUGGCUCAACUGAGGAAGUGCACCCGAAACUGAGUGGCUAGAGUACGAAAGAGGGUCGCGGAAUUCCCGGUGUAAGGAGGUAGAAAUUCGUAGAUAUCGGGAGGAACACCGGUGGCGAAGGCGGGUUCUCUGGGCCGUAACUGACGCUGAGGAGCGAAAGCGUGGGGAGCGAACAGG